UAAUCAACGAAGACGUGGCCAAG
rnacentral:piRNA from 1 species